GGGAGUAAAAGUCGUAACAAGGUUUCCGUAGGUGAACCUGCGGAAGGAUCAUUAUCGAAAUACUUAUUUAGCGUUCCGUGCUAUCCCAUUGUUUUAUUUACCCUGUUGCUUCCACUGGAUGAGUUUCCAUACCUUGUGUUUGAGAAACUUUGGCUUGUGUAAGAUUCAUUCACGGCCAGCCAGUGAGAAGACCAUUUACAAAACCCUGUUAAGAACCAAUUGUCUGAAUAUUUUACUCCAAUGAAAUAAAACUUUCAACAACGGAUCUCUAGGCUCUU
rnacentral:misc_RNA from 1 species